UCAGGGAAACAUACUUUACGGGUGAGGUGUGUGUGUAUGGUGGGGGAGGGGAUACAGCACGGCUUACUCUGGAGAGUGAAAGAUUUUCUAGCACAUUUCCUGGGAGAGAACAACACGAGCUUAACAAUUCUACUGAUACAAAAAAUGGUAAGGGGAAGUCUGGGGGGGGGGGGGAUAAAUUCCAGAAGGAAGACAAAGGGGCAAGGGUUUGGGGCUAGAUUAAUUACUGAAGCGUGCAUAUAUUUAAGUGUAUGUUAAACAGCCCACCCCCAAAGAGGCAGAUUGCAAAUUAAAUACGAUAUAAAUAGGGUUGCAGACACUAGCCACCGUUUCUGAAGCCUGGGCCUCAUUCCCUCAGAGUUACCACUCGCCAUUCCACGUGCGAAUUACUGCCUAAAAUUGCCAAUAGAAAUUGAGUUCCUGCGCAGUAAAAUAUUCAUUCAACUGCCGGGGCCACUCAGCGGGGUGUGGAGGCGGGGCGGGGGAGGAGUAAAGGCUGUUUACAAACUUGACUUACAGACGCAGCUCUAACCGUUAGGUUCUGAAAUUGAGUGUUACAGACUCGGGAUCUACAGUCACUGUGAUGCUUUUGGUACUGGCGCCUGACUUACGUCCAGCCCGGCUGGCCGUUACCUUUUGAAGAACAGGAGGAUUCCUGGGUUCCCGUCCUACCUAGGUCUUGAGGCAGCGAUGACUCACCGCAACACCCCUCACCGCCUUCUCCGAACUGCUGUAUCCGUCCACCCCCAAACAAUCGCGACUACGUGCUACGGCGCCAGGCUCUCUGCUGGGGUUAAACGGGCUCAUCCCAAUGCCCGCGUCCGGGCAAGCUAAACCUUCCCGCUUCCAGUCUUUUGGCUUUCCUAGCUCCCCACCCGACCACUCCUUGGAGUGAUGGGGAUGGAUGCGACAUCCAGUCGGGGAUCUCUGGCCCCAGGAACAGCAGCGCGCGGAGGGGCCAGCCGAGCACCCUGGGUCUGACCAUACAUAUCAGUGAUAUUCAUGGCAAGCAUUACUGGAAUAAACUCCAGCUACUGCUGGGCUCUGUGCAAAAGGUGUAGUUACAAAAAGCAAGUGUUUGGAGUUAUCACUUUCUUUCAGGUACUCUCAUCAUAGUGAUGGUGGCAUCUGAAUUCUGGUUACAGUAAGUAAUGCAGUUUCAUCCAUGUCAGCUUUUUUUAAAAUCAACAACUCUGACAGCUGAUUAUUCAGUUCAUUAGUUCUUAACACAAAUCUGGACCUCACAGAACUAUGUGCUCUAAGAUAUAUUUUCCAACAAAACAGAGGUCUCACUGGAGAAAUGGCUCCCUGAGCAGUGACUUUGGUCCUUGUGUCCAGGAGUGGCAGAGGUCCUAAAAAAUAAAAACAUACAACUCAAGACUCUCUCCUCUCCACUUCACUGAUCAGGUGAAAACAAAAGGAAACAGAACAUUAGAAACAAAAUGAGAAAAUGAAUGACCAGAGCCCAGAGUAAUGGGCCAUGAAGUUUCUGAUGAAGGGUCAACCUGAUUUGACAAUAACUUACUUUUAAUGGCCUUACUUCACUGAAAGUUAAAUGAGAAAGGGCUUUGCAGGCAGUGAAAUGCUACACAUGAAUUAACUAUUAUUAUCUCAAUAACCAGCACAAGACAUGAUCAGUCUGAAAAAUAAGAUACCAGCACUCAAUGAUGUGGAACCUGGAACAGAUAAAUCUCUCAUGGCCUUGCACCCAAAUCCCGCCGACGGAACCUGCCCACCCACAUGUCCACUGCUGACGGAACAAGGUGGACAUCGGUCCACACUGGGGGUGAGAAGUUUGGGACAUGGCAAAUCCAAGGCAGCUAGACGAUGACAGGCCCUCAAACUGGAAGGCCAGGCAGUUGUGGCCUUGGUGACUCAGCGGAGGCUAGAGAUGUGAAGGAGCAGAGGGGCCCUGAGGGGCUGCGGGGAUGCUGGCUGGCAGUGAGAUGGAGAGAAGAGAGAAGAUAGAUGUCCAGAGAGAUCCACCACUGAGAAAUGCCCUGAAGCUUUUACCAGAAACCCAACCUUUCAAGGAAUAGUCCAUUCCCAUGACAUUUAAACUACUCCAGUGUUCAAAUAACAGAUGGUGUGGCCCCAGAAGGAAUGAAGGUCAGUACCUUGAUUCCGACCUUCUAGUGGGUGAGUCACUUCUAGGCCCUGCGUGUCCUGGGGCUGUCUUUUGUUCUUUAAACCUCCAUAUAUUACAAAAGGUCAUUGAAGUUAACAUCUGCUCCCUGCUGUAAACAAACAGACAAACAACCCCUGUGACUAUAUGCAUAAUAUGUAUUCUUACAACUGAAAGGUGCCUAUGGCUACCUGAUCAUUGUUUGCCUUUAUUUUGAUCAUACUAAAUCUGACUUCAUUUUCCAGAUAAUUAUUAUCAUUCACAAAUAUUUCCUGAGUCUCUACCAGCAUUCUUGGCACUAUGGGGAAUAUGAGGAAGGAAGAAUACUAGCUCCAGCCUCCAGUCCCACAUGGUAUCAGGGGAGAGAUAAUCCCACCAUAGACAGAAGAAAGGAACUCCUCAUGGGGCAAAUGAAGCACAUCAUGAGCAGUAGGUGGGUUUCCGAGGGGAAGGAAGUUCCUUUCUCCUGGAGUGGGCAGGGACCCACAGAGAAGGCAGGAGAGAAAGAGGGAAUUUCAAUGUUAAUGAAAAAAGGAGGAAGAGAGGUAUGACAACCGUAGGCAUAGAGAAUGGAAAAAAAGCAUGAUGGACAACCAAGAGAUGGUAACCAGGCCAGAUUAGCUGAAGAAAAGGGUUCUUGGGGGUGAAGUGGGUUGAAUUAUUGCCACCAAAAAGAUAUAUCUGUGUCCUCUGGAACCUGUGAAUUUGAUCUUAUUUGGAAAAGGGGUCUUUGCAAGUGAGUUGGCUCUAAAUCCAACAAGUGUCCUUAUAAAAAACAGACAAGAGGAAAACACCCACAUAUACAGAGGAGAUGGAGAUGGCUAUAUGAAAGUGAAGGCAGAGACUGGAGUGUGCAGCUACAAGCCAAGGACAGCUGAAGCCACCAGAAGCUGGAAGAGGCCAGGAUUCUUCCCUGGCACCUAUAAAGGGAGCUCAGUCCUUCCAACACCUUGAUUUCAGAUUUCUGGCCUCCAGAACUUUAAGAGAAUAAAUUUCUGUUGUUUAAAGCCAAAAAAAUGUAUAUGGCAGCAGUAUUUUUAUUAGCAAUUUCUUCUUUUUUUCUCUUUCUUUUGAAAUUGCAGCAAGUCUGUGGGUGUUUCUUAAAGAAAUUUAGUGCAAAAGUUGUGCCCCUUGCUAUUCUGAGAUCUUGCCCAAGAUUUGAAAACAUGCCUAAUAUGUUUGUAUGUGUUCAGAGACUUCAA